AACGAACGCUGGCGGCAGGCCUAACACAUGCAAGUCGAGCGAGACCUUCGGGUCUAGCGGCGGACGGGUGAGUAACGCGUGAGAAUCUACCCAUGAGUGGGGGACAACCCGGGGAAACUCGGGCUAAUACCGCAUACGCCCUACGGGGUAAAGCAGGGGACCUUCGGGCCUUGCGCUGAUGGAUGAGCUCGCGUCGGAUUAGCUUGUUGGUGAGGUAAAGGCUCACCAAGGCGACGAUCCGUAGCUGGUCUGAGAGGAUGAUCAGCCACACCGGGACUGAGACACGGCCCGGACUCCUACGGGAGGCAGCAGUGGGGAAUCUUGGACAAUGGGGGCAACCCUGAUCCAGCCAUGCCGCGUGUGUGAAGAAGGCCUUCGGGUUGUAAAGCACUUUCAGCAGGGAGGAAGGCUUACCCCUAAUACGGGUGAGUACUUGACGUUACCUGCAGAAGAAGCACCCGCUAAUUUCGUG
rnacentral:rRNA from 1 species